rnacentral:lncRNA from 1 species
AGUCAUCUUGCAUAGGAUGUCGGCAAUCUCAGAAACCUCUGGGAGUCUGCUUUUCAUGUAGCAAACAACCUAGUAAGAAAAACUAGCUUUGGAGCCAGCCCCGGCUGGAAAAAAUGAAGCUAAAUGAAACUCUCUCCACAAUAUUGGGCUAAAACCUUUUGAUGUUUCUUGCUGAGCCUACCUGGCUAAUGCCAUCAGUGAAAGACAAAUCAGAACAGAUGAAGAAUGUGACUUUCAGGGGAUGAAUGUGAGUACAUACUUUUCUGACACUUAUUAACUGUCAUGAAUGAUUGAUUUUCCUAUCCCCCUGGGUCCCCCACGUAAUUCAUUCUCUCCUUCCAUGACAAGGAAGGGAAACAGAAGUGCGGGACCCUCUCUGUGUAUAAUCCACCUCCCUCUCUUCUCCCACCCUCCCUUCUUUGGCAGUAGCACCAGAAGCCUGGAAGGAACUCCCUGCCAGCAGGAGGCGGCCAGCUCUAGCUUCCUGGGGCUUUGAAAAAGGCCUGGCUCAGCCCCGAGGCUGUGACAUGGUGGGGGAAAUGCUGGACUGAGAACCAGACACCUGGCUUUGAGAACGCAGGUCUGCUGUGAACUUGCUGAAUCUAUUCUCCUGUCUGUAAAACGGGGAUGAUAGUAAAGACAUUCUGGAAUUAAAUGAAAAUGAUAGGCUAUGUUACUCGUGUACUUGAUGUGAGCGGAUGGGCCCUUGGAAAAGAAAAUUCAUUUAAAGAAGCAAUCAAGAGCCCCUGGCCUUGGGGUGGGAUAGUUUAGUCCAAGAGAGUAGGAAGACCCUUGGGAUGGAGGAAGAUGAGGAAAACAGACCCCCGGUUAUCUCACUAUGGCGAAGGCGGCCAUCCUUCAAGCUGGCACGAACAGCCUGGGAUAUCAGUCCACGUUCCUUUCUCCUCUAGCUUCUUAGACUGAAAGUAUUAAAAGGACUGCUUGAGCAAAGGCGAUUUUGACAUAACCUCAUUCUGCAUCAGAGCUGAAAGCAUUGCCAUUCUACCCUUUCGCUCAUGUAGCUGGCCCCA